rnacentral:rRNA from 1 species
UACGUAGGGGGGCAAGCGUUGUCCGGAAUCAUUGGGCGUAAAGAGCGUGUAGGCGGCCCGGUAAGUCCGCUGUGAAAGUCGGGGGGCUCAACCCUCGGAUGCCGGUGGAUACUGUCGGGCUCGAGUACGGAAGAGGCGAGUGGAAUUCCUGGUGUAGCGGUGAAAUGCGCAGAUAUCAGGAGGAACACCAAUUGCGAAGGCAGCUCGCUGGGACGUUACUGACGCUGAGACGCGAAAGCGUGGGGAGCAAACAGG